rnacentral:rRNA from 1 species
GAUGAACGCUAGCGACAGGCUUAACACAUGCAAGUCGAGGGGCAGCGGAGUUGUAGCUUGCUAUAACUGCCGGCGACCGGCGCACGGGUGAGUAACACGUAUGCAACCUGCCCGUUGCAGGGGGAUAAGCGGAAGAAAUUCCGUCUAAUACCGCGUAAUAUACUUUAGGGGCAUCCUUUUAGUAUUAAAGAUUUAUCGGGCAACGGAUGGGCAUGCGGCGCAUUAGCUAGUUGGUGAGGUAACGGCUCACCAAGGCAACGAUGCGUAGGGGUUCUGAGAGGAAGGUCCCCCACACUGGUACUGGAGACACGGACCAGACCUCCUACGGGAGGCAGCAGUGGGGAAUAUUGGGCAAUGGGCGAAAGCCUGACCCAGCAACGCCGCGUGAAGGAAGAAGGCCUUCGGGUUGUAAACUUCUUUUAGCAGGGACGAAGGACGUGACGGUACCUGCAGAAAAAGCAACGGCUAACUACGUG